GCGGCGUGCUUAAGGGUAUGCAAGUCGAACGAAGAUUAAAGGGUAGCAAUAUCUUUUAAUUUUAGUGGCAAACGGGUGAGUAAUGCGUAGACAAUCUACCCUUAACAUUGGGAUAACUUUGCGAAAGUAAGGCUAAUACCAUGUGUGAUGCAUAAGUGAAACUCUUAUGUUUUAAAGAAGCAAUUCGGUUAAGGAUGAGUCUGCGUCCUAUCAGCUAGUUGGUAAGGUAAAGGCUUACCAAGGCGACGACGGGUAGCUGGUCUGAGAGGAUGAUCAGCCACAUUGGAACUGCGACACGGUCCAAACUCCUACGGGAGGCAGCAACCAGGAAUAUUGCGCAAUGGGGGAAACCCUGACGCAGCGACGCCGCGUGGAGGAAGAAGGUCUUCGGAUUGUAAACUCCUUUUUACAGGAAUAAUAAUGAUAGUACCUGUAGAAUAAGUAACUGCUAACUACGUGCCAGCAGCAGCGGUGAUACGUAGGUUACGAGCGUUAUCCGGAAUUACUGGGCGUAAAGAGAUGCGUAGGUGUUUUGGUAAGUUUUCGGUCAAAUCCUUUA
rnacentral:rRNA from 1 species